CGCGGCGGGGGGCGGGGCGAGCGGGACCCGCAGCUGGAGCGGUCGCGGCUGUUCUAGAAGCGGGGCGCAGCUGCAUGUUGGCGGCCGGGGAGCCGCCAGCCGCCAGAUGCAGGCAGGCGGAUGACCCAGCUCCUUGGCACUCAGGGAAAGCUCAGGCAGCUGGGGUCACGGUGAGGCUGCGGGAACGGCCCAGCCAGUGUUUCGGUGGCUGCCGCUGGGUUGCGGGAACUGCCACGGUCUGGCUAGCCUGGGGAGGGUGGCCAAGGCCAGAAACGGCUCAGGACGGUGGGAGAACUCGACAGUAGGCGGAUGUCUCGGCAUAACCCCCUGCAGACCCCUUUGCCAAGCCCGGGCUAGCCAGCGGGUGUGUGUUAAGCCUUCAAGCCGAGGUUUGGUAUCCCUUCCAGAGCGUGUCUUUUGCAUGAACUGUGAUAACUUUGCGUUGUCUCGUUACCCACAUGAGUCAUCAGUUCAUCUUUGAAUCUUAAGCUUGUGGCCUCAAUGAUGUCCUGUGGCAGUCCAUUCCAUAGUCUAACUAUAGGGUGAGUGGAAAAAGAGUUGCCUUUUAUCAGGCUGCAAUUUGCUACCUAUUCAUUUCAGUGACUGUCCUCUUGGUCUUGUGUUAUGAGACCAGAGAAAUGCCUGUUUGCCAUUCUCUAGCCCAUUCAUUUUCUCUUGAUUGCAUCCACAUCCACCCUCUUAUUCAACUCCUCCUUGUGGUAACAGUCCCAAUCUGCUCUGCCUUUCCUUGCAUAAGGGUUUUCCAUGCUCUCAAUCAUUAUCAUUAUGCCUUGUGCAUCUUUUCACUUUGCAGUAUCGCUUUUGAAGUGGGUUAACCGCAUACAAUGUAUAAUAAUUUGAAAAAAGAUUCACACUUGAAAUAGGUAAUGCUCCUGGUAUUAUUUCAUAUUCUUUAAACCUUUUCUGUAGGGUUUCUUCUAGCUCUGGCAGAGGUGAACGACAAAUUUUACCUGGCCCCCAGAAGGAAAUGGUGGGAAGUCAUUUGUAUAGCUGUCAACUUUCCCUACAGAAAAGGAGGGUGGUUUAAGUUCUGGAGGGGGUUGAAUAUCGGACUAUAGAGCCCUUGUUGACGUGGCCAACAAGAGGAUAACGUGGCCCAUGACUGGGAAUAAACUGGAAAAAUGAUGAACA
rnacentral:lncRNA from 1 species